UAGGGAAUCUUCGGCAAUGGACGAAAGUCUGACCGAGCAACGCCGCGUGAGUGAAGAAGGUUUUCGGAUCGUAAAACUCUGUUGGUAGAGAAGAACGUUGGUGAGAGUGGAAGGCUCAUCAAGUGACGGUAACUACCCAGAAAGGGACGGCUAACUACGUGCCAG
rnacentral:rRNA from 1 species